rnacentral:lncRNA from 1 species
GGUAGGAGUUUGCGCAUGAGCAGAAGUGUCGGGAAAACUGGAGAAGGGUUCGGAGGCGGUAUUGACAGCUGUGGAGGCAGCCCGCGUUCCCGGCAUGCCCCGGGGCGGCGGGGUUGGCUCUAACGAAUUUGAAUGAGGAGCCUCAGCGCUUUCGGCGCCAUUUUCGAGUGAUGCCUGAUCUCAUCAAUCUAGCGGGAGAGACGGGAUAACCUGUCCGAGAUUAUAGCGCUACUAGGACUCCGCCGAAAAAUCACCAAAAAAAUCGCCAAAAAUUACUUUGAGCAAAGGGCAGUCCGUGGGGCUUCGCCAGGAUUGGCGCAGACGGUUUUGACCUUUAGGAGAGAGCCAAUUCUGGAGAACAACCUAACUUCUUUGAUUGAACACUCACAUAAUGCAUUGGAACAUGAUAGGAGAUUAAGCUGGGAGCAGGGGCUGGGAGAUUACUACUGCUUGUCAGCUGUUGUACAAAAUAGCAUCAAUAUGCAAUAAUGGUGGCCAAAGGAGCCUGCACCCACCAGCUUUUACAGACCAGGUAGGAAGGGCCCAACUGUCACUAUAACCUGUAUAUAGUAUAAUGAAUACACUCUUUG